CGGAAACAAAGACACCUACAUCUUCUUGGAUGGCCUUGAGGACACAGGAAUCCCAACAAAGCAAAACCACAGCUGAGCAGCGGGAGGACAAUACCAGUGGUAGUCUCCUUUCAGAAUCAUUCACUCAGUCUAUAUUUGGGCUGCUAGCUGAGGCAACCGCUUAGGUGAGUUACAUCAGAAACUACGCUGUCAAAAACAACACUCAGGUGAUAAUACGAGACAAACAAGUCAAAUCUAUGAGGUCUGGGACAUUAUGGAAUCAAUUUUCUGUGUCUUGCACAUGCGCGUCUAUUGAUUGAUCCGCUGAAAUAUGUGCUGAUUGGAGAUGUUUAGCAAGCAAGACUCAAAACUUGUCCAAGUGAACCAGACAGGUUAGUUUGCAGUGUUGCAAAAUCUGUCUAGAUGAGAUUAUGUAUUUAGAGUCAUUAAGAGUUUUCUGUAAAGCGGUUUUGUAAUAUUGGGAAAGCACACUUGACAUAUGACAUAACUUGAUGUUUCACUCUUGUAACUGUUUAUAGCACUUUGGCCUUGUAUCAUGACGUGAGAGAACCUCAAUAUGGUCGAUAAGAAAUGUGAGGUCUGGCAAGUUCCCACAUGAGACGGAAAAAAAUAACUAAAGCAAUAUCUGUUGGUAUACAUGUGCGCUCACUAGACAAUUCUGCAUCAGUAAGUUCAUUAUUAAAUAAAUUGCACAGUAAAUAUGUAACUGAGAAAAGCCUCCUAGUGAUAUGAUGCAAUUUAACACCACCCUGUAAAAGUCAUGACCCCUAAUUGACUAUUUUUGUCUACUACACUUUCACUCAAUGAAAUACCUGCUGAGCACAUGGUACUGUGGAAGUAUUGUUACUAAAUGUGUGAAUGAACCCUACUGAACUGUUGCUUAACCAGCUUACCAUUUCUUCUAUCUACAAAAUAUGCUCCAUUGACUUGUGGAGGCAGGUGAAUAAUAAGUCUAUAGUGCAUGUCUUUUUUCCCCUCCAUGCAAGUACAUAGUUAAUGAAUCAAUAAACAGUAAAAAAUAGUUGUACUAUAUAAUAGUUUAAAAGCACAUUUCUGAGAGUUUCAUUUAAAAGUUCAGGAUUUAAAAUCACCUGGAUGCCCUUCUCCCACAGACUCUGAGGUGAACAUGAAGGAUCCGUCAUCAUGAACGUCAUUCAGCUCUUCCAUGUUUGCCAGCAACUGAGCAGAUCUUCAAAAUGAACAGGACAAAAUAAUCUAGGCUCAAUAAUUUUCCUCCAAUUGUGGCAGAAGCAGGCCAAAUAUGCAGAGCUCCUUAUAGUCCCGAGGGCAUAAAGAAGAUAGAUCACAGACUAUAUCACACAACUUCGCCUCGAAGCAAGUUUGCCCCUAUAUA